rnacentral:rRNA from 1 species
CGUCAAGUCAUCAUGGCCCUUAUGGGCUGGGCUACACACGUGCUACAAUGGCGGUGACAAUGGGCAGCGAAGUGGUGACAUGGAGCGAAUCCUAAAAAGCCGGUCUCAGUUCGGAUUGCAGGCUGCAACUCGCCUGCAUGAAGUCGGAAUUGCUAGUAAUCGCGGAUCAGCAUGCCGCGGUGAAUACGUUCCCGGGUCUU